rnacentral:rRNA from 1 species
AGCAUAUCAAUAAGCGGAGGAAAAGAAACCAACAGGGAUUGCCUCAGUAACGGCGAGUGAAGCGGCAAAAGCUCAAAUUUGAAAUCCCCCGGGAAUUGUAAUUUGAAGGUUGGGGAAAAAGUAACGUGUUCUUCUAAGUCUAUUGGAAAAUGGCGCCACAGAGGGUGAUAGCCCCGUCUGAUUCAACACAAUACAUAUCUUCCCCCUCCAAAGAGUCGAGUUGUUUGGGAAUGCAGCUCUAAGUGGGUGGUAAAUUCCAUCUAAAGCUAAAUAUUGGCGAGAGACCGAUAGCGAACAAGUACAGUGAUGGAAAGAUGAAAAGCACUUUGAAAAGAGAGUGAAAAAGUACGUGAAAUUGUUGAAAGGGAAGGGCUUGCAAGCAGACACAACUUUUUGUUGGGCCAGCAUCGGGGGAGUAGGAGGCAAAAAGGAGUAGAAAUGUAGCUUCGGUGUUAUAGUCUGCUCUCAUACCUCCCCACCCUCCCGAGGCCUGCGUAUCUAGGAUGCUGGCGUAAUGGUUGCAAGUCGCCCGUCUUGAAACACGGACCAAGGAGUCUAACGUCUAUGCGAGUGUUUGGGCUAAAAACUCAUACGCGCAAUGAAAGUAAUAGGAGCGAGCCUCGGCGCAGCUCCGACCACAUUGGAGCCUAAACCCCAAUGUGAGUAAGCAUGGCUGUUGGGACCCGAAAGAUGGUGAACUAUACCUGGAUAGGGUGAAGCCAGAGGAAACUCUGGUGGAGGCUCGUAGCGGUUCUGACGUGCAAAUCGAUCGUCGAAUCUGGGUAUAGGGGCGAAAGACUAAUCGAACCAUCUAGUAGCUGGUUCC